AGGAAAACAAAGGAGCAUGUUCAAAGUUAGAAUGAAGAUUCAGUUGAUUUAACCAGACUUGGGAUUUGUGAGGGAUAAAUAAAAUGCGGAAGCUUUGAGAGAUGCUAGGGUUACAAAUUGGUUACAUUUCAAUCAUCUGGGGUUGAUUUUUGUGUUACAAAGUGAUACUAAACUGAAAGGUGAUUCUCAGUUUAAAGUUGGGAUCUGUUUAAAUUUUUGACUGAAUGCAAAGUUCUGAGGUGUCAAUUAUAUAUUGCUUUUUUUGAUUUUUCAACUAUGUAUCAGAAGGCAGCUGAACUGCAGGAACCUCUUUAAGAGUUCAUCAAUAAUGUAUAGUUGGAUACAAUUGUUCAUGAUUAUUGUGGUUAGAAGCAUGAAUUCAAAAUAAUUGAAAGCAUGAAUUAAUGUUUAGAUCGGUAUUUUAUUGAAUGCAGGUAAUGACAUAAAAAUAGUGUUAGGUUAAUAAUGGUUAGUGAGGGGUUUUGGACUUAGUAGCUAUAAAAUUUGAUUAUCUGUAGUCAUUGAUGUACUGGCUUUGUGUUAUUUUGAAUAUUUGUAUAUUGUAAUUGUAGGUGUUAGGUGUGUGAGAUGUUUUACAUUU